CUCAGAUUGAACGCUGGCGGCAUGCCUUACACAUGCAAGUCGAACGGCAGCACGGACUUCGGUCUGGUGGCGAGUGGCGAACGGGUGAGUAAUGUAUCGGAACGUACCUUUCAGUGGGGGAUAACGUAGCGAAAGUUACGCUAAUACCGCAUAUUCUGUGAGCAGGAAAGCAGGGGAUCGCAAGACCUUGCGCUGAUUGAGCGGCCGAUAUCAGAUUAGCUAGUUGGUGGGGUAAAGGCCUACCAAGGCUACGAUCUGUAGCGGGUCUGAGAGGAUGAUCCGCCACACUGGAACUGAGACACGGUCCAGACUCCUACGGGAGGCAGCAGUGGGGAAUUUUGGACAAUGGGGGCAACCCUGAUCCAGCCAUUCCGCGUGAGUGAAGAAGGCCUUCGGGUUGUAAAGCUCUUUCAGCAGGAACGAAACGGUGGCCACUAAUACUGGCUACUAAUGACGGUACCUGAAGAAUAAGCACCGGCUAACUACGUG
rnacentral:rRNA from 1 species